GCAAGUCGAGGGGUAACAGAGGUAGCUUGCUAUUUGCUGACGACCGGCGCACGGGUGAGUAACGCGUAUACAAUUUGCCUUAUACUGGAGAAUAACCGAGAGAAAUUUCGACUAAUACUCCAUGGUAUUAUAGAUUGGCAUCAAUUUAUAAUUAAAGAUUUAUUGGUAUAAGAUGAGUAUGCGUCCUAUUAGUUAGAUGGUAAGGUAAUGGCUUACCAUGACUAUGAUAGGUAGCCGGCCUGAGAGGGUGAUC
rnacentral:rRNA from 1 species